GAUGAACGCUGGCGGCGUGCUUAACACAUGCAAGUCGAACGGAACACCCUUGAAGGAGUUUUCGGACAACUGAUAGGACUGUUUAGUGGCGGACGGGUGAGUAACGCGUGAGCAACCUGCCUUGGAGUGGGGAAUAACAGCUGGAAACAGCUGCUAAUACCGCAUAAUAUGUCUGAACCGCAUGGCUCUGGACAUCAAAGAUUUAUCGCUCUGAGAUGGACUCGCGUCUGAUUAGCUAGUUGGUGGGGCAACGGCCCACCAAGGCGACGAUCAGUAGCCGGACUGAGAGGUUGGCCGGCCACAUUGGGACUGAGACACGGCCCAG
rnacentral:rRNA from 1 species